rnacentral:rRNA from 1 species
GGGCGCAAGCCUGAUGCAGCCAUGCCGCGUGUGUGAAGAAGGCCUUCGGGUUGUAAAGCACUUUCAGUCGUGAGGAAGGUAGUGUAGUUAAUAGCUGCAUUAUUUGACGUUAGCGACAGAAGAAGCACCGGCUAACUCCGUGCCAGCAGCCGCGGUAAUACGGAGGGUGCGAGCGUUAAUCGGAAUUACUGGGCGUAAAGCGCAUGCAGGUGGUUUGUUAAGUCAGAUGUGAAAGCCCGGGGCUCAACCUCGGAAUAGCAUUUGAAACUGGCAGACUAGAGUACUGUAGAGGGGGGUAGAAUUUCAGGUGUAGCGGUGAAAUGCGUAGAGAUCUGAAGGAAUACCGGUGGCGAAGGCGGCCCCCUGGACAGAUACUGACACUCAGAUGCGAAAGCGUGGGGAGCAAACAGGAUUAGAUACCCUGGUAGUCCACGCCGUAAACGAUGUCUACUUGGAGGUUGUGGCCUUGAGCCGUGGCUUUCGGAGCUAACGCGUUAAGUAGACCGCCUGGGGAGGACGG